GAUGAACGCUGGCGGCGUGCCUAACACAUGCAAGUCGAACGAAGCAUAGUACGGAAGUUUUUCGGAAUGGAAGAACUAUGACUGAGUGGCGGACGGGUGAGUAACGCGUGGGCAACCUGCCCUAUACAGGGGGAUAACAGUUGGAAACGACUGCUAAGACCGCAUAAGCUCUCAGUACCGCAUGGUACCGAGGGAAAAAAUUUAUUGGUAUAGGAUGGGCCCGCGUCUGAUUAGCUAGUUGGUAAGGUAACGGCUUACCAAGGCAACGAUCAGUAGCCGGCUUGAGAGAGUGAACGGCCACAUUGGGACUGAGACACGGCCCAAACUCCUACGGGAGGCAGCAGUGGGGAAUAUUGCACAAUGGGGGAAACCCUGAUGCAGCGACGCCGCGUGAGUGAAGAAGUAUUUCGGUAUGUAAAGCUCUAUCAGCAGGGAAGAAAAUGACGGUACCUGACUAAGAAGCCCCGGCUAACUACGUGCCAGCCGCCGCCGUAAAAC
rnacentral:rRNA from 1 species